CUUAGUUAACAUCUUAAAACUCCAAUAAUUCUUCCUAAAGUAGUAAAUACACAGUGUGCUUUAUAAACAAGUUGAAAAUUAUUAUGGUUCACUUUAGAAAUAGGAAUUUACAGACUGGCUGGGUUCAAAUAUUGACAUAAUGUGAUCCUUUGCCCUUAUUACCUGAUUGAAUUGAAGCAGAUCCCAGGAGCUUCAUGUAAGAAGAAGCCACAAGCCUCAAAAGAAGGAUUGAGGCAUUUGCUUUUGGGUUCUUGGUCACAACAUCUUUGCCUAAGCCAAUGUCUAGAAGGGUUUUUCUGAUGUUACCUUCUAGGAUUUUUAUGGUUUCAGGUCUUUGAUUUAAGUCUUUGAUCCAUCUUGAGUUGGUUUUUCAUAAGCUGAGAAAUGAGGAUCCAGUUUCAUUCUCCUACACGUGGCUUGCCAAUUAUCCCAGCACCAUUUGUUGAAUAGGGUGUCCUUUUCCCACUUUAUUUAUUUAUUUUUUCCUGUGUUGAAGUUCAGUUGGCUGUUAGUAUUCAGUUUUAUUUUUGGGUUCUCUAUUCUGCUCCAUUGGUCUAUGUACCUAUUUGUAUGCCAAUUCCAUACUGUUUUAUUGACUAUAGACUUGUAAAAUUGUUAGAAGUCUAGUAAUGUGAUGCCUCCAGAUUUGUUCUUGUCUUACUCCAUGACUAUUUUGCAUGUGUGAUUUAAUUUUUACAUACAUCUUUAUAAUUUAAUUAAAUUUAUUUAGGUGAUGAGAUGAAUAUCUAGUUUAUUUUAAAAAUAUAUAUUUUCCAUAUAUCACUCAAGUGAAAGGGCCAUCAUUGCUCGUUGAAAGUUAGAACUACUUCUAUGUUAAGAUUCAUGCUCUGGUUAGCUAAUACUAAAUUGGGUUUUAGAAGUUUGUUAUUCGUUGUUUACCUCAGUCAUCAUUUAAAAACCAACAUGUUAGUUUGUUUCCUUAGGAUUUAUGAAGGUUAAUACUGAGUGUCAACUUGAUUGGAUUGAAGGGUGCAAAGUAUUGUUCCUGGGUGUGUCUGUGAGGGUGUUGCUAAGAAAAUCAACAUUUGAGUCAGUGGACUGGGGAGUCAGACCCACCCUCAAUCUGGGUGGGUAUCAUUUGAUCAGCUGCCAGGGUGGCUAGAAUAAAGCAGGCAGAAGAAGGUGGAAUGAUCAGACUUGCUGAGUCUCCUGGCCUCCAUCUUUCUCCCGUGCUAAGUAUUUCCUGCCCUCGAACAUCAGACUCCAAUUUCUUCUGCUUUUGGACUCUUGGACUUACACCAGGGGUUUGCCAGGGGCUCUCAGGCCUUCAGCCACAGACUGAACGCUGCACUAUCAGCUUGUCUACUUUUGAGGUUUUGGGUCUUGGAAUGGCUUCUUUCUUCCUCACCUUGCAGACGGCCUAUGUGGCACUUCACCUUGUGAUCGUGUGAGUUAAUUCUCCUUAAUAAACUCCCUUCCACAUAUAUCCUAUUAGUUCUGUCACUCUAGAGAACCAUGACUAACACAGGAUUCCAAUGUAUUUAUCAUCAAAUCACUCCUCAAUUAAAAUCCGUGAGUUAUGACUUGGAUCCAGAACACUGCUCCCACUGAUCCUCCUAAGCCUGUUCCCUGUCAUCCAGAAACAUGCAGUAACAUGUGGUCACUCAACAAAAUGGACCUUCUCAGCAUAGCAGUCCCAUCAAUAAGAACACCAGACAUGCUGGUGGAGAGGGUGAGCAGUUCCCCAAAUCCCAACCCCUUCAUCAGGAACUGUGUUUCUCCAACUGCCUCCUGUUUCUUCUCAAACAGAUACGGAGUCUUUCAGUGAUCAGGACUUCUCAAGCAUCAGGAGUCAAUAGCCGGAUUCCCCCAGUGGCUGACUCUCAGACACAGUUUAAAGAGACAUCAAUCUGUGAUGUCCGCAGUGUUCAGCAGAGAGGAAAUCCCCACAGAGGAUGGGGAGGUGUCCAGCCAACGCCACAGGCAGUGUCUGUGCUUCAGGAGGGAGAGUGGCUUCAUGGCUAUGCCCUGCCCACUGUCACAGCUGGGCCAGCUGCAUCUGCAAGAUUAUUAAACAAGCGACUGAAGAAAUCAAGGGGAAGAUGGCGAAAGGCCUCCACCACAUCUGUUGGGAAAAAGCGGAACGCGUGGCGACUUGACUUUAUUUAGCAUUUCAUGAGAUAUUUUCUGUGUAUUGUCUUCAUGAGUAGCCAUUCAGCAUUUUUCACCAGUGAAAAUCCAUUUAUGUUUUUUGAAUGAUUAUAACAUGACCAGUGAAGGCUGAAGCUAUUUAACACUAUUGGCAAAACCUACUCACCCUUGAAAAGACUAUGAAUAUAAAGAUUUAAAGAACAUUUUUGCUCCUUUGAAUAAACUCUCUAGAGAGAGAGAGAAAAAAAAAAGAUCUCCAAAUAUGUCCCACAUCUUCUUAUCACAAACUAGUAACAUUUUGCCAACUCAAACAUCAAACCCAGACUUGCUUCUUUCACAAAAGCCACUAGAACUUCCUCAGGAAAUAGUUCUCAUAGAAGACUCAUUGUGCAAUGAGCUAUGGAAAACUCCUCAGUCUUGCAAGCAGAAAGAGUCCUUUGGUUUUGUGGGGACAAGGAUGAGGCUGAUUGCAGGACAAAAGCAAAAGAGAGAAAGAAGCAAGGUAGUAACUGCUCACCUGCAGCCCUCAGCCUGCCUGGGCACCUUCCCUCCAGAGUUCAUGAACUCCACCAGCUGCAGGCAAGGAUCAGGCUGACCCUGGAUGUAUGUGCCCAGCAAUGGCUUUUCCACUUAUAAAACUCCAGCCAGGUCAUGAGUGCCGCCUCACCUAGAAAACGACAGAAAUCCACUGCACACAUGGUUCCAGAAAACAACAGAAAUCCACUGCACACACGGUCCCAGAAGUGUGGGUUGAGGGUGGGUUUGUAAUGAGCUCUUUGUUUCCUGUGGGUCACCCUGCCAGGCCCGGUCAGGAUGGGGUCUUUCACCUUCAGCUCAACCUUGGACCUUCAUCCGGCUCCUUGGUGUCCCCUUCCCCAGGGAAGUGCCUGGCUGACCACGUGCCCUCGGAUGAGGCCCACAGGUUUGUUAUGGACCCAUUCUAUUCUAACCACAUCAGCAGCAACCGAGCCUUAGCAAUCUCAUUUCCAAUUUGGGAUGACAGAGAGAUCUAAGUUCUUGAGCAGCAUGGAAUCAGCCAGGGACACUGACCUACACACGUUUAUCAGCACACUGUGUGCAGAGGGGGUGUGGACCCAGCAACAUGCUUUGUCACUCACCUGUCAGGAGGAAACAGCACCUGAUGCUCUCUUGGAUAGCUUCCUGCGAUAAAACGAUCUGACAUCCCUUCCACAAAGCUGCCACGCUGUCAUGGGCCUCCACAUAGAAAAGGCUGCUGAUACACUUCAGAUUGUCCGAAGUCAAUGGUUUUUAAAGUGAUGUUAGAAAUAAGCCUUCAGCGCAGAUUCCUGGGGAGCCGUGUUUCCGUGUCCCCGACCUCCAUCAGGACCAGAGCAUCUGCCUCUGACACACAGGGUGUCAUCAAGCAUCUGGUAUAUCAUACUGAUAAAAUACCAGGGAUGAAACUCUGGGCAAGGUCUGGGUGGAAUUUUUUUAUUUUUUAUUUUAAGACAGCCAGACGAUUCAAAAUUAUGGCAAUCAGACAUUGGUGAGGGAGAAACAUGGUGAUACACUGAACAGAAGCCACUUAAAUGCCACACAUCCUGAUAAUGUAAU
rnacentral:lncRNA from 1 species